rfam:Roseofilum reptotaenium AO1-A Rreptotaenium_AO1_contig_37_len_117591_cov_438.095, whole genome shotgun sequence.
GUUGAAACCCAUCUAAAUCCCUAUGAGGGAUUGAAAC